rnacentral:tRNA from 1 species
UGCGGAAGUGGUGAAAUUGGCAGACACACCAUCUUGAGGGGGUGGCGCCGAGAGGCAUGGGGGUUCAAGUCCCCCCUUCCGCACCAA